UCAAAGGGAGAGCUUUGUUCCUCACUUCU
rnacentral:piRNA from 1 species